CGGAAAAAGCGGUAGAGCUUGCUUGGGGUGCAAGAGGCCGUGAGUUCGAAUCUCGCCGUCCCGA
rnacentral:tRNA from 1 species